CCCACCAGCAACGCACACGAAUGGCAAGAUCCAGUGGAUUCUCUCCAACCUGCCGACGGGCCGGGCUGAUUGGGCCC
rnacentral:tRNA from 1 species